AGCGAACGCUGGCGGCAGGCCUAACACAUGCAAGUCGAACGAACCCUUCGGGGUUAGUGGCGGACGGGUGAGUAACACGUGGGAACGUGCCUUUAGGUUCGGAAUAACUCAGGGAAACUUGUGCUAAUACCGAAUGUGCCCUUCGGGGGACAGAUUUAUCGCCUUUAGAACGGCCCGCGUCUGAUUAGCUAGUUGGUUGAGGUAAUGGCGCACCAAGGCGACGAUCAGUAGCUGGUCUGAGAGGAUGAUCAGCCACAUUGGGACUGAGACACGGCCCAAACUCCUACGGGAGGCAGCAGUGGGGAAUCUUGCGCAAUCGGCGAUAUCAUGACGCAGCCAUGCCGCGUGAAUGAUGAAGGUGUUAGGAUUGUAAAAUUCUUUCACCGGGGACGAUAAUGACGGUACCCGGAGAAGAAGCCCCGGCUAACUUCGUG
rnacentral:rRNA from 1 species